UACAGAGGUCCCAAGCGUUGUUCGGAUUCACUGGGCGUAAAGGGUGCGUAGGCGGUCGGGUAAGUCUGAUGUGAAAUCUCCAAGCUUAACUUGGAAAUGGCAUCGGAUACUAUUCGGCUCGAGGAAUGGAGGGGAGACUGGAAUACUUGGUGUAGCAGUGAAAUGCGUAGAUAUCAAGUGGAACACCAGUGGCGAAGGCGGGUCUCUGGGCCGAUACUGACGCUGAGGAGCGAAAGCGUGGGGAGCGAACAGG
rnacentral:rRNA from 1 species